AGGACUACUCUUUCAGGAGUCAUUUCUAUAGUUUUCUUACUUGGAAAUGUGUUUUGUAAGUGUCUGUUUUUCAACCCACGAUGAUGAGCUUUGGUGCUUCUUUUGCAGCGUGACUCUGGCACAUAGUGGUGAUUCGGUUCACAUGCUUUGUGCUGUUGAUGAAUGUUCUUUCUUGAUUUUGCGAUAUUGAGGAAAGGAGCAUGAUCUGAGUGGU